GUAGGUGGCAAGCGUUGUCCGGAAUUAUUGGGCGUAAAGCGCGCGCAGGCGGUUCUUUAAGUCUGAUGUGAAAGCCCACGGGCUCAACCGUGGAGGGUCAUUGGAAACUGGAGAACUUGAGUACAGAAGAGGAAAGCGGAAUUCCACGUGUAGCGGUGAAAUGCGUAGAGAUGUGGAGGAACACCAGUGGCGAAGGCGGCUUUCUGGUCUGUAACUGACGCUGAGGCGCGAAAGCGUGGGGAGCAAACAGGAUUAGAUACCCUGGUAGUCCACGCCGUAAACGAUGAGUGCUAAGUGUUAGGGGGUUUCCGCCCCUUAGUGCUGCAGCUAACGCAUUAAGAACUCCGCCUGGGGAGUACGGCCGCAAAGGCUG
rnacentral:rRNA from 1 species